rnacentral:lncRNA from 1 species
UGGAAGACCUGGAUGCUUCAUACUUUGUAUAUAGAUGCCUCAUGUUACGAAGUUUUCCGUCAGUCACAUGUCCAAUGUCUUGACCUCAUUUUCAUGGUUCAGUGACCACUUGAAAAAAAGUUCAAAUUUUUUUAAUGUUGAAUUCUCUCUUAUUAUAAGUAAUAGGAUAACUAUAUUUGAUAUGUGCGUACCUUGCAAGGUCCUCAUGUCUGUCAGAUAGUUUUCACUUGACCUCGACCUCAUUUCAUGGAUCAGUGAACAAGGUUAAGUUUUGGUGGUCAAGUCCAUAUCUCAGAUACUAUAAGCAAUAGAGCUAGUAUAUUCAUUGUAUGGAAGGACUGUAAGGUGUACAUGUCCAACUGGCAGGUGUCAUCUGACCUUGACCUCAUUUUCAUGGUUCGGUGGUUAUAGUUAAAUUUUUGUGUUUUGGUCUGUUUUUCUCAUACUAUAUGAAAUAGGUCUACUAUAUUUGUUGUAUGGAACAAUUGUAAGGUGUACAUGUCUAGCGGGCAGAUGUCAUGUGACCUUGACCUCAUUUUCAUGGUUCAGUGGUCAAAGUUAAAUUUUUGUGUUUUGGUCUGUUUUUCUCAUACUAUAUGCAAUAGGUCUACUAUAUUUGUUGUAUGGAACGAUUGUAAGGUGUAC